rnacentral:tRNA from 1 species
GCAGAGUUGUCUGAGAGGUCGAAAGUGUGAAACUCGAAAUUUCAUGAACAUUAUUGUGUUCCCAGGGUUCGAAUCCCUGACUCUGCGCCA